UACCAGCACCCCGAGUGGUCGGGACGUUUAUUGGGCCUAAAGCAUCCGUAGCCGGUUCUACAAGUCUUCCGUUAAAUCCACCUGCUCAACAGAUGGGCUGCGGAAGAUACUAUGGAGCUAGGAGGCGGGAGAGGCAAGCGGUACUCGAUGGGUAGGGGUAAAAUCCGUUGAUCCACUGAAGACCACCAGUGGCGAAGGCGGCUUGCCAGAACGCGCUCGACGGUGAGGGAUGAAAGCUGGGGGAGCAAACCGG
rnacentral:rRNA from 1 species